rnacentral:rRNA from 1 species
GAGGUAGAUAGGUUCGGGGUGGAAGCGUGGCAACACGCGGAGCUGACGAAUACUAAUCGGUCGAGGGCUUAACCAAAA